UACGUAGGGGGCUAGCGUUGUCCGGAAUCAUUGGGCGUAAAGCGUGCGUAGGCGGUUCGUUAAGUCUGUUGUGAAAGCCCCGGGCUCAACCUGGGAAUGGCAAUGGAUACUGGCGAGCUAGAGUGUGUCAGAGGAUGGUGGAAUUCCCGGUGUAGCGGUGAAAUGCGUAGAGAUCGGGAGGAACAUCAGUGGCGAAGGCGGCCAUCUGGGACAACACUGACGCUGAGGCACGAAAGCGUGGGGAGCAAACAGG
rnacentral:rRNA from 1 species